rnacentral:tRNA from 1 species
GUAGCUUAUUGAUUUAAAAGCAAACUCAUAAUCCCUUGGUCGCUGGUUCGAGUCCAGCUGGGCCCACCA